UGUGUAGGCUGUUGCUUAAGUUUGGUGUGAAAUCUCCCGGCUCAACCGGGAGGGUGCGCCGAAUACUGAGUGACUCGAGUGCGGGAGAGGAGAGUGGAAUUCCUGGUGUAGCGGUGAAAUGCGUAGAUAUCAGGAGGAACACCGGUGGUGUAGGCGGCUCUCUGGACCGUAACUGACGCUGAGACACGAAAGCGUGGGUAGCAAACAGGAUUAGAUACCCUGGUAGUCCACGCCCUAAACGAUGCAUAUUUGGUGUGGGCAGUUCAGUCUGUCCGUGCCGGAGCUAACGCGUUAAAUAUGCCGCCUGGGGAGUACAGUCGCAAGGCUGAA
rnacentral:rRNA from 1 species